CAAUAGCGUAUAUUAAAGUUGUUGCAGUUAAAACGCUCGUAGUCGGAUUUCGGGGCGGGUCCGCUGGUCUGCCGAUGGGUACGCACUGGCGGGCGCGUCCUUCCUUCCGGAGACUGGCCCUACUCUUAGCUGAGCGGGGUCGGGAGUCGGAUUGUUUACUUUGAAAAAAUCAGAGUGUUUCAAGCAGGCAGCUCGCUCUUGCAUGGAUUAGCAUGGGAUAAUGAAAUAGGACUUUGGUGCUAUUUUGUUGGUUUCGAACACCGAAGUAAUGAUUAACAGGGACAGUCAGGGGCACUCGUAUUCCGCCGAGAGAGGUGAAAUUCUCAGACCAGCGGAAGACGAACCACUGCGAAAGCAUUUGCCAGGGAUGUUUUCACUGA
rnacentral:rRNA from 1 species